rnacentral:rRNA from 1 species
AUGAACUUCUCCGACGACUGGCGCUUCCUCUUCCCCGUCUCCUCCGUGUUCAACCCGCCGUCCCUCGCCCCGCCGGACGCCUCCCACGGGCCCCUCUUCUUCACCCCUCUCCUGCCGCCCGCCCCGCUCCUCUCCCUCCCCUUCCCCUUCCCUCCGCCCCUGCACGCCUCCACCACCGGUGACCUCCGCCACGCCCUCCGCUACUUCGUCGCCUCCACCUCCUUCCUCCCCUACUCCGAUCUCAAGUCCCUCUCGGGACCCCUCCUCGCCGCGCCGUCGCCGCCGUUCCCACCGCCUUCCAAUCUUCUCGCCGUCCUCCCCUCCCGCUCCGCGAGCUCUCUCGUCCUCUUUUUCCCGUACGGCGAGAAUGCGGAGAAGAUUGCUUUCGCUCUUGUGAACUCGCCCGUUGCGAGCUCUGCCCCCGUUUCGCUCUUCGUUCAGAGUGAUGGGUUCAAGCACCCUGGGCACCGCAUACAGCAGUUUGCUGCUAUUCCUGCCCAGUCGUCCUGGUCAUCGGAGCCGGAUGACAGCUGCGUCGAGGGUUUCCUGCUUGCUGCGACAUUGUACUCAGUGAGUUGGUUCAGGGUCGAGUCACGCCAUUCGGGUUCCCUGGUGCUUGUACCGGUGGCCAAGCAGGGGUUUGAUGCUGCUGUCGUGCAUGCGUGCUGGAGCAGGCAUUUUCCGUCACAAUGUGCGGUGCUGCUGGAGAGUGGGGAGUUGUGUUGGUUUGAUCUGAAUACACGACUUGGAGGAAAGACGAGCGUUGGUUUUGGCAGCAAUGGUGAAGACUGGGGGGACUGGCUGAGCUGUGCGUAUGGAGCACAACCGUGGAUGGUGAUCGUCGCAAGCUCAAAAGCCGUCCUUUUGGUUGAUUUGAGCUUUGUAGAUCAUGGUGACAAAUACGUCGUGGAAAACGAGCCACACAAGUUUCAGUACAAGGUUCUAGCAAAAAUUGGGUUGCCAGGGUUGUUUGAAACUGAGCCUUUUGACAGGACUGAGCAUUAUAUUGCAUUCUGUAAGGCUGGGUUCGAUGAUUCCCAUAUAUCAGUAGUGACAGAGCGUCACUUGAUUCUCCUUGAUGUGACAAAGCCCUUGGAACCUGUGUUGGCUUGGCAGCAUGGGCUUGAGAACCCAAAUCAUGUUGCCAUGUUUCGGCUAUCUGAAUUGAGACCUUCCAAGGAAUAUGAAUGGGCUUCAAAUUCAGGUUUUGCCAUUUUGGUUGGUUCGUUCUGGAAUGGGGAGUUCAGUUUGUUCUGUUACGGGCCUAAGGAGCAAGGUUGCCCAGAUAGUUCUCAUUUAUACGCUUGGGAUAUUCCUUCGAGGCUUUCUCUGACAGGUCAGCAUUGUGGCUGCAGCAAUGGAAUCAUGAAAGAGAUAUUCUCAACGCCUGUUUCAGUAUAUGAUGGGUAUGCUUCCCAACACCGCGCUAAGUCCAUUGUUGGCUACUAUGUGCUUCCAGAUGACCUCCCAAUAUCAGAGCCAACAUCUGCCAGCUUUGCCUUGAUCCGGCUAACAGCAUUGGGGAAGUUAGAAAUGCAACAGUAUCGUGCAUCUCGAGGUCUGCAUGAUGAAAUUGACACCCCAUGUGAUGAAUCAGAACAUGCAUCCAUCGAUAGUUGUUCAUCCAUUUUGAUUGACACUCAAGGUGAAAAUGUCUCAACCAAAUAUCGAUUCUUGAAGUUGCAUUUCCUAUAUGAACAUCUGAAGGGCAAUCUAUGCAGUGCGUUGGCGAAGCAUGGUAGUAGUGUUAACGGAGACGGAGAUCAAAUUAUUAUUAGUGAAGAUGUGUUGGCAUUUGCAGAGGAUAACUCUAGAUCCAGCGUGCUGCCAGUUUCAGAUUUCCUAUGUAAUGCUAGCAUCCCCAUGAAUGUUUUCGAAAUUGCAUGUCAGAGCAUAUUGAACAGUCUACCUUCAAAUAUUCUUCAUGUCUCCCUUUCUAAAUACAAGGACAUGCUAAAAUGUGGUACAAAAGAAGGCUUAUUAGAAUAUUUAAAAGUUCCUAGCUGUUCGCCACACAAUGAACUUCGGCCUUUCCUGUUAGCGAAACCAUCAAGCACAUGUGAGAAGGUGACUAGCAAAGCGGUAUCUCAAAAUGCUCUUGUUGGGCCAGUGCUCCCUGUGCAUGUCCUACUUGCAUUGGAAGAGAUGAACAGGGGCAUAGACAGCCCUUCGGAAAGAGAAACUGCAGAAACUGACUUGGUACGCCAUCGAUGUAGUGAGGUGCUUGGAGCCUUUGUUCCUGAAGUAUCCAUUGCUGAAUCCGACAACUUUGAUGGAUGGUUCUCCUCACAAAAGUUGAAUGACAAGAAGUCAUAUCUUGUUUACGAGCCUUGGAUUGAAAAUAAGUUUACUCUUGAUGAAACUGUUAUAAAGAAGGAAAACGAAGAGCAAAAGGCCGCUGAUUGUACAUCUUUUGAAACGUCUGCAGCAGCAUACAAGGAUGAGAAUUUCACGACAUUUGUCUGUGGAAAAGCUGGGACUCUUGAUUCUGGGCCUGAACAAACCACAUCUGAUUUGUUUGAUUUCACCCCAGUGAGGAUGGAUUUUGCUUCCACAGAUCUAGACAUUCAACCUGCUGAGGAAGAAAUAUACAGAUGCUUGAAGAAACAAUUUGUAGCAAGGCAGCAAGAGUCCAAGCCAUAUUGGGGCAUUACAUAG